AUUGAACGCUGGCGGCAGGCCUAACACAUGCAAGUCGAGCGAGCGGCGGACGGGUGAGUAAUGUAUGGGGACUGCCCGAUAGAGGGGGUUAACUACUGGAAACGGUGCCUAAUCCCGCAUACUUUCGGAUAACCCAUAUGGGAUUAGCUUGUAGGUGGGGUAAAGGCUCACCUAGGCGACGACCUCUAGCUGGUCUGAGAGGAAGAGCAGCAACACGGGGACGGGAAACCGGCCCAGACUCCUACGGAGGCAGCAGUGGGGAAUAUUGCAAAAUGGGGGAAAGCCGGAUGCAGCCAUGCCGCGGGUAUGAAGAAGGCCUUAGGGUUGUAAAGUACGUUCAGCGGGGAGGCGGUACCCGAAGAGGAAGCGCCGGCUAACUCCGUGCCAGCAGCCGCGGUAAUAC
rnacentral:rRNA from 1 species